GGUUUUCGCAAUAGAUUACAUUGUACAGUAUACAUAUCUCCUUCUUUUUAUAUAUACGUGCUUAUCUAUAUGAUCACUAAUAACCGGACUUUCCGAUCGGGAUUAAAUAUAAGUUUUAAUAGAGUAAAGAAAUAUUUAUGGACAGGAUCCAAGUAAAAUGUGUUGUGAUGGGAGAUAUAAAGGUUGGGAAGACAUCAUUGAUUAUGUCGUACGCAUAUAACAUAUUUCAGGAAGAAGAUAUUCCACUCGUAUUUGAUUUUUAAACAACUGUAACUGCGAACGACAAAGUAGUAGACCUCGUUUUAUGGGACACGUGUGGUAGUGAUGAUUAUAACAAACUGCGUCCAUUAUCCCUUCCAGAUACAGAUGUCUUUUUUGUUUGUUUUUCUCUGGAUGACCCAGACAGCUUUGAAUUUAUUGAGCAAAAAUGUUACCCAGAUAUCAAACUUCUCUGUCCAAAUGCAUUAACUUUGCUUGUUGGUACCAAAAAAGAUUUGAUAACUAUUGGGCAGAAUGAACAGGAAAUUAGGGAGAAAGACACAAGCAAUUUAUAUUCUUAUAAGCAAGGAAUCAACCUGGCAGAACGGAUUCAAGCAGUAAAAUAUAUAGAGUGUUCUGCAAAAACAGGAGAGGGAAUUCAAUCAGUGUUAGAAGAAGCAAUUAAAUGUGUAUUUGAUAAGACGAAACGAUUCAAAAAAAAUAAUUCAACGUGUAAUUUAUUGUAGUUGCUUAACUGUCUUUUGCUCAGUAUCUGUUCUGUAGUAAUUUAAAGAUAUUCUUCUCAUUUUUCACAGGUAGCUAAACACCAUGAAUCAACAAUAAGGCACCGAUCAAUCAUCUUUUUAUGGGGAACAUUGUUUUUUCGUUCAAUAAAUUAUUUGAUACCAAAGGAGGAGAUAUUUUGUUUGGCUGCUAACAUAACAAAAAUAGUAAACUUGUUCCGGCCGUUC